GCCUGGAUAGCUCAGUUGGUAGAACAUCAGACUUUUAAUCUGACGAUGCAGGGUUCAAGUCCCUGUUCAGGCG
rnacentral:tRNA from 2 species